CCUACGGGAUGCAGCAGUGGGGAAUAUUGCACAAUGGGGGAAACCCUGAUGCAGCGACGCCGCGUGAGCGAUGAAGUAUUUCGGUAUGUAAAGCUCUAUCAGCAGGGAAGAAAAUGACGGUACCUGACUAAGAAGCCCCGGCUAACUACGUGCCAGCAGCCGCGGUAAUACGUAGGGGGCAAGCGUUAUCCGGAUUUACUGGGUGUAAAGGGAGCGUAGACGGCUUGGCAAGCCAGAUGUGAAAGGCUGGGGCUCAACCCCCGGACUGCUCUGGAAACUGUACGGCUGGAGUGCAGGAGAGGUAAGUGGAAUUCCUAGUGUAGCGGUGAAAUGCGUAGAUAUUAGGAGGAACACCAGUGGCGAAGGCGGCUUACUGGACUGUAACUGACGUUGAGGCUCGAAAGCGUGGGGAGCAAACAGGAUUAGAUACCCGAGUAGUC
rnacentral:rRNA from 1 species